rnacentral:rRNA from 1 species
GUAAGACUCGCAGGAUGGAAUAGCUAAUGAAUCAUAGAAUUUUUUAAAAUUCAUGAUGUCGUAAGGGAAAAUAAUGAUAAUACCUUACUAUGAGUGUCGUCCAAAUCUGGUGCCAGAAGACUCGGUAAGACCAGAGACGCAAACGUUAAUCAUCAUAAACAGGCGUAAAGGGUUUGUAGGCAGCUUUCACCAAACUAUGAUUACAAAAUAAAGUAGUUUAAUUGAAAGCUAGAAUCAAAAAGAGGUUAUAGUGUAUAACGCCUAGAGGAGGGCUGAUAUCCAUAGAUCCUAGGCAGAAUACUCAGGGCGAAGGCCACUCUCCACUACUGAUUGACGCUGAGAAACGAAGGUUAGGGUAGGAAAUAGGAUUAGAUACCCCGGUACUCCUUUCUGUAAACGAUGAAUGGUAGUCAUUAGUUUUAUAACUAGAGACGAAGUUAACACAAUAACCAUUCCGCCUUGUGAGUACUACUGCAAAGUAGAAAACAAAAAAAUUAGUCGGUCUCGAAGCAAACGGAGUGAAGCAUGUUAUUUAAUUCGUAAUCCCCCA